rnacentral:rRNA from 1 species
UACGUAGGCGGUCUACUAAGUCAGAUGUGAAAGCCCCGGGCUUAACCUGGGAACUGCAUUUGAUACUGGUAGGCUAGAGUAUGGUAGAGGGGGGUAGAAUUUCUAGUGUAGCGGUGAAAUGCGUAGAUAUUAGAAGGAAUACCAGUGGCGAAGGCGGCCCCCUGGACCAAUACUGACGCUGAGGUACGAAAGCGUGGGUAGCGAACAGGAUUAGAUACCCUGGUAGUCC